AUACGUAGGGUGCGAGCGUUGUCCGGAAUUACUGGGCGUAAAGAGCUCGUAGGUGGUUUGUCGCGUCGUCUGUGAAAUUCCGGGGCUUAACUCCGGGCGUGCAGGCGAUACGGGCAUAACUUGAGUACUGUAGGGGAGACUGGAAUUCCUGGUGUAGCGGUGAAAUGCGCAGAUAUCAGGAGGAACGCCGGUGGCGAAGGCGGUUCUCUGGGAAGUAACUGACGCGGGGGAGGGAAAGCAGGGGUAGCGAACAGGAUUAGAUACCCUGGUAGUCCAUGCCGUAAACGGUGGGCGCUAGGUGUAGGGGUCUUCCACGACUUCUGUGCCGUAGCUAACGCAUUAAGCGCCCCGCCUGGGGAGUACGGCCGCAAGGCUAAAACUCAAAUGAAUUGACGGGG
rnacentral:rRNA from 1 species